UACGUAGGGUCCGAGCGUUGUCCGGAAUUACUGGGCGUAAAGAGCUCGUAGGUGGUUUGUCGCGUUGUUCGUGAAAACUCACAGCUUAACUGUGGGCGUGCGGGCGAUACGGGCAGACUUGAGUACUGCAGGGGAGACUGGAAUUCCUGGUGUAGCGGUGGAAUGCGCAGAUAUCAGGAGGAACACCGGUGGCGAAGGCGGGUCUCUGGGCAGUAACUGACGCUGAGGAGCGAGAGCGUGGGGAGCGAACAGG
rnacentral:rRNA from 1 species